rnacentral:rRNA from 1 species
AGUGAGCGCUGGCGGCGUGCCUAAUACAUGCAAGUCGAACGGAGAUUAAGUAGCUUGCUAUUUAAUCUUAGUGGCGCACGGGUGAGUAAUAUAUAGCUAACUUGCCCAUUACUAAGGGACAACAGUUGGAAACGACUGCUAAUACCUUAUACUCCGUAUCUAUAUAAGUAGAUACGGGAAAGUUUUUCGGUAAUGGAUAGGGCUAUAUCGUAUCAGCUAGUUGGUAAGGUAAUGGCUUACCAAGGCUAUGACGCGUAACUGGUCUGAGAGGAUGAUCAGUCACACUGGAACUGAGACACGGUCCAGACUCCUACGGGAGGCAGCAGUAGGGAAUAUUGCUCAAUGGGGGAAACCCUGAAGCAGCAACGCCGCGUGGAGGAUGACACUUUUCGGAGCGUAAACUCCUUUUCUUGGGAAAGAAUUAUGACGGUACCCAAGGAAUAAGCACCGGCUAACUCCGU